rnacentral:rRNA from 1 species
GACGAACGCUGGCGGCGUGCUUAACACAUGCAAGUCGAACGGAAAGGCCCUGCUUUUGUGGGGUGCUCGAGUGGCGAACGGGUGAGUAACACGUGAGUAACCUGCCCUUGACUUUGGGAUAACUUCAGGAAACUGGGGCUAAUACCGGAUAGGAGCUCCUGCUGCAUGGUGGGGGUUGGAAAGUUUCGGCGGUUGGGGAUGGACUCGCGGCUUAUCAGCUUGUUGGUGGGGUAGUGGCUUACCAAGGCUUUGACGGGUAGCCGGCCUGAGAGGGUGACCGGCCAAAUGGGAACUGGGAUACGGCCCAGCCUCCUACGGGAGGCGGCGGUGGGUAUUAUUGCACAAGGGGGGAAGGCUUGAGGAGGCAACCCGCGUGCGGGAUGACGGCCUUCGGGUUGUAAACCGCUUUCGCCUGUGACGAAGCGUGAGUGACGGUAAUGGGUAAAGAAGCACCGGCUAACUACGUG